UACAGAGGUGGCAAGCGUUGUUCGGAAUUACUGGGCGUAAAGGGCGCGUAGGCGGUCUUGCAAGUCCUGUGUGAAAUCCCUCGGCUCAACUGAGGAACUGCACAGGAAACUGCUUGGCUUGAGUUCGGGAGAGGGAAGCGGAAUUCCGGGUGUAGCGGUGAAAUGCGUAGAUAUCCGGAGGAACACCGGUGGCGAAGGCGGCUUCCUGGACCGACACUGACGCUGAGGCGCGAAAGCUAGGGGAGCAAACGGG
rnacentral:rRNA from 1 species